rnacentral:rRNA from 1 species
UACGAAGGAUCCAAGCGUUAUCCGGAUUUAUUGGGUUUAAAGGGUGCGUAGGCGGAUUGAUAAGUCAGUGGUGAAAGCCUGAUGCUUAACAUCAGAACUGCCAUUGAUACUGUCAAUCUUGAAUAUGGUUGAUGUGGGCGGAAUAUGACAUGUAGCGGUGAAAUGCUUAGAUAUGUCAUAGAACACCGAUUGCGAAGGCAGCUCACAAAGCCAUUAUUGACGCUGAGGCACGAAAGCGUGGGGAUCAAACAGG